AGAGUUUGAUCAUGGCUCAGGACGAACGCUGGCGGCGUGCCUAAUACAUGCAAGUCGAGCGCAGGAAGUUAUCUGAUCCUCUUUUAGAGGUGACGAUAAUGGAAUGAGCGGCGGACGGGUGAGUAACACGUAGGCAACCUGCCUGUAAGACUGGGAUAACUCGUGGAAACACGAGCUAAUACCGGAUAACACUUUUCAUCUCCUGAUGAGAAGUUGAAAGGCGGCUUUUGCUGUCACUUACAGAUGGGCCUGCGGCGCAUUAGCUAGUUGGUAAGGUAAUGGCUUACCAAGGCGACGAUGCGUAGCCGACCUGAGAGGGUGAUCGGCCACACUGGGACUGAGACACGGCCCAGACUCCUACGGGAGGCAGCAGUAGGGAAUCUUCCGCAAUGGACGAAAGUCUGACGGAGCAACGCCGCGUGAGUGAUGAAGGUUUUCGGAUCGUAAAACUCUGUUGUUUAGGGAAGAACAAGUGCCAUAGUAACUGAUGGCACCUUGACGGUACCUAACCAGAAAGCCACGGCUAACUACGUGCCAGCAGCCGCGGUAAUACGUAGGUGGCAAGCGUUGUCCGGAAUUAUUGGGCGUAAAGCGCUCGCAGGCGGUUCUUUAAGUCUGAUGUGAAAUCUUACGGCUCAACCGUAAACGUGCAUUGGAAACUGGGGAACUUGAGUGCAGAAGAGGAGAGUGGAAUUCCACGUGUAGCGGUGAAAUGCGUAGAGAUGUGGAGGAACACCAGUGGCGAAGGCGACUCUCUGGUCUGUAACUGACGCUGAGGAGCGAAAGCGUGGGGAGCGAACAGGAUUAGAUACCCUGGUAGUCCACGCCGUAAACGAUGAGUGCUAGGUGUUAGGGGGUUUCCGCCCCUUAGUGCUGAAGUUAACGCAUUAAGCACUCCGCC
rnacentral:rRNA from 1 species